CCCAUCUGGGCUACUAUAACCACAUGGACCAUCCCUUGCUUCAAUCAUAGAAUUCUUUCUUCAGAUCAAAGUAUAUUCAGACACUCGAUACAGUAACAAAAGCAAGCUAUCCUGGAAGGAAGAAGGAAUCAGGAGGCAGAGCACAUGGUUAAAGCAUGAGAUGUGAAACCAGGAAGAACCAGGUCUGAACCUUAGCUCCACCAGUGGUAGCUUCAAACCUUGGUCCUUUCUGAGCCUGCUUCUUCAACCGUAAGGUGUGACUACACUGAGCAGUAACAGCAAAACCUGAAAGAGAAUGGAUACAGGUGUUCAUUUCAGAUGGUACAAGUUUAACAAAGUACAAGAGCAACUUAAGGGAACGCUACACUUCCUUAGAAAUUAAGAGUGUGUGCUACACUGCUUUACCAGAGCAAGGCCAAAAGCAGCUUCAAUUAUGGUACAACUGUGUGAAGACACAAUGCAAAACCACUCAAGAAUGCUCACUCAAAUGGAUUUUUACCAUGGAACUCGGAAACGGGACCCAGAAAGUUGUUUUCUCAAGUGGAUGGAACAACACAAGCAAUCAGUAUCCUGAAACAGGCCCUGUUCCAACAAACUGACCCAGAAAGGUCUGGUUAGGAGGACAGGACCCUCACUAUACACUAUCACAUUUAAACUAAAAGGAUAUUAUGAAUUAUGUACACAUAUCAAGCUGAGAGGAAAGGAAAUCCUAUCAUCUUGCAGGCUUCCUAAUGAUCUUACUUAAAACUGAGUUACUGCAACAA
rnacentral:lncRNA from 1 species